UACGUAGGUGACAAGCGUUGUCCGGAUUUACUGGGCGUAAAGAGCGCGCAGGCGGUCGAUCAAGUCGAAUGUGAAAGCCCCCGGCUCAACUGGGGAGGGUCAUUCGAUACUGUUCGACUCGAAGGCAGGAGAGGGAAGCGGAAUUCCCGGUGUAGUGGUGAAAUGCGUAGAUAUCGGGAGGAACACCAGUGGCGAAGGCGGCUUUCUGGCCUGUCCUUGACGCUGAGGCGCGAAAGCCAGGGGAGCAAACGGG
rnacentral:rRNA from 1 species